rnacentral:rRNA from 1 species
GACGAACGCUGGCGGCGUGCCUAAUACAUGCAAGUCGAACGCUUCUUUCCUCCCGAGUGCUUGCACUCAAUUGGAAAGAGGAGUGGCGGACGGGUGAGUAACACGUGGGUAACCUACCCAUCAGAGGGGGAUAACACUUGGAAACAGGUGCUAAUACCGCAUAACAGUUUAUGCCGCAUGGCAUAAGAGUGAAAGGUGCUUUCGGGUGUCGCUGAUGGAUGGACCCGCGGUGCAUUAGCUAGUUGGUGAGGUAACGGCUCACCAAGGCCACGAUGCAUAGCCGACCUGAGAGGGUGAUCGGCCACACUGGGACUGAGACACGGCCCAGACUCCUACGGGAGGCAGCAGUAGGGAAUCUUCGGCAAUGGACGAAAGUCUGACCGAGCAACGCCGCGUGAGUGAAGAAGGUUUUCGGAUCGUAAAACUCUGUUGUUAGAGAAGAACAAGGACGUUAGUAACUGAACGUCCCCUGACGGUAUCUAACCAGAAAGCCACGGCUAACUACGUG